UAUUGUGAGCAGUCGCAGUACUACAUUGAAAAGUGUAGUGUUGAGGAAAGUCCACGCUCGCCUAAGCUGUGAUGCUUAGAGUUUGGGUGCCUGACGAAAAAAUAAGUCAGGGCAGUAUGAAAGUGCUGACGGCGGUGAAAUGGACUCACUGAGUUCAGAAUAGCCUGAAAGUGCCACAGUGACGAAGUCCUUUUGGCGACAAAAGGAGUGGAACGAGGUAAACCCCACUUGCGAGAAACCUAAAUUAUGGUAAGGGAGCUAUCCGGAGGGAAUAAGAACUGACGGAUGGAUUGAAUAAUGGAUUUGCGACAAAUUCGUUAUUUGAUAGAUAGAUGGCUGCUACCUCAGAAAUGAGGUACAGAACGUGGCUUAUAGCA
rnacentral:RNase_P_RNA from 2 species